GAUGUCAAUUAGCUGUUGGGCAACUUGAUUGCUUAGUAGCGUAGCUAACGCGUGAAAUUGACCGCCUGGGGAGUACGGUCGCAAGAUUAAAACUCAAAGGAAUUGACGGGGACCCGCACAAGCGGUGGAUGAUGUGGAUUAAUUCGAUGCAACGCGAAGAACCUUACCUGGUCUUGACAUGUACGGAAUCUCUCAGAGACGGGAGAGUGCCUUCGGGAACCGUAACACAGGUGCUGCAUGGCUGUCGUCAGCUCGUGCCGUGAGAUGUUGGGUUAAGUCCCGCAACGAGCGCAACCCUUAUCAUUAGUUGCCAUCAUUUGGUUGGGCACUCUAAUGAGACUGCCGGUGACAAACCGGAGGAAGGUGGGGAUGACGUCAAGUCCUCAUGGCCCUUAUGACCAGGGCUUCACACGUCAUACAAUGGUCGGUACAGAGGGUCACCAAGCCGCGAGGUGGAGCCAGUCUCACAAAACCGAUCGUAGUCCGGAUUGCACUCUGCAACUCGAGUGCAUGAAGUCGGAAUCGCUAGUAAUCGCAGGUCAGCAUACUGCGGUGAAUACGUUCCCGGGUCUUGUACACACCGCCCGUCACACCAUGGGAGUGGGGGAUACCAGAAGU
rnacentral:rRNA from 1 species